AAGUCCGUUUUGUGUACAUUUUCCGCUGUCUUUAUAGCGUUUAUUUAUUUAUUUUUCUAUGCACGGGAUUGUCACUUGAUCUCCGGGCUAAACUGCCUUUUGCACAGCCAGGACUGGACUUGGGGAAACAUUCGCAUAUGUCUAUUUCUUUCAUACAAUUACCGGAUUCUUUUUUAUUUUUAUUUAUCUAAACCUCCUGUGGCACAAGGAUGCGUUGAAAUAUAAUAGAUUUGAAUGCAAAGUGGAAUUUGCGCGACUCCCGGUUCCCGGUCGUGUGUUGAUUGUGAGGAAGAUCUCAUAUAGUUUGUGUGAUUUUGCUAAAAUGCAUCACCAACAGCGAAUGGCUGCCAUAGGGACAGACAAAGAACUGAGCGACUUACUGGAUUUCAGUGCGAUGCGAAACAGCGAUUUGAAAAUGUUCCCAACAUCAAUGAUGUUCUCUCCUCCUGUUAGUGGUAAACACGGACCAACCUCUCUGGGAAGUGGACAUUUUGCAGGCUCAAGUAUG